GGUUAUAGCUCAGUUGGUAGAGUGCUUGCCUCACAUGCAUAAGGCCCUGGGUUCAAUCCCCAGAACCA
rnacentral:tRNA from 1 species